rnacentral:rRNA from 1 species
AGGACGAACGCUGGCGGCGUGCCUAAUACAUGCAAGUCGAGCGGACCAAAGGGAGCUUGCUCCUGGAGGUUAGCGGCGAACGGGUGAGUAACACGUGGGCAACCUGCCUGUAAGACUGGGAUAACAUCGAGAAAUCGGUGCUAAUACCGGAUAAUAAAAGAACUGCAUGGUCUUUUUGAAAGAUGGUUUCGGCUAUCACUUACAGAUGGGCCCGCGGCGCAUUAGCUAGUUGGUGAGGUAACGGCUCACCAAGGCAACGAUGCGUAGCCGACCUGAGAGGGUGAUCGGCCACACUGGGACUGAGACACGGCCCAGACUCCUACGGGAGGCAGCAGUAGGGAAUCUUCCGCAAUGGACGAAAGUCUGACGGAGCAACGCCGCGUGAGUGAUGAAGGUUUUCGGAUCGUAAAACUCUGUUGUUAGGGAAGAACAAGUGCCGUUCGAAAGGGCGGCACCUUGACGGUACCUAACGAGAAAGCCACGGCUAACUACGUG